GAUGAACGCUAGCGGCAGGCUUAAUACAUGCAAGUCGUGGGGCAGCAGGUCUGUAGCAAUACAGAUGCUGGCGACCGGCAAACGGGUGCGGAACACGUACACAACUUUCCUUUAAGUAGGGAAUAGCCCAGAGAAAUUUGGAUUAAUACCACGUAACAUAGUGAAAAGGCAUCUUUUUAUUAUUAUAGCAGCAAUGCGCUUAAUGAUGGGUGUGCGUCUGAUUAGGUAGUUGGCGGAGUAAUAGCCCACCAAGCCUACGAUCAGUAACUGGUGUGAGAGCACGACCAGUCACACGGGCACUGAGACACGGGCCCGACUCCUACGGGAGGCAGCAGUAAGGAAUAUUGGGCAAUGGACGCAAGUCUGACCCAGCCAUGCCGCGUGGAGGAUGAAGGUCCUCUGGAUUGUAAACUUCUUUUAUCUGGGAAGAAAUCCAUCUUUUCUUGAGUGGUUGACGGUACCAGAUGAAUAAGCACCGGCUAACUCCGUGCCAGCAGCCGCCGUAAUAC
rnacentral:rRNA from 1 species